rnacentral:rRNA from 1 species
UACGUAGGGGGCAAGCGUUGUCCGGAUUUAUUGGGCGUAAAGAGCUCGUAGGUGGUUCGGUAAGUCGGAUGUGAAAUCUCCAGGCUCAACCUGGAGGGGUCAUUCGAUACUGCCGUGACUAGAGUUCGGUAGGGGAGCAGGGAAUUCCUAGUGUAGCGGUGAAAUGCGCAGAUAUUAGGAGGAACACCGGUGGCGAAGGCGCUGCUCUGGGCCGAAACUGACGCUGAGGAGCGAAAGCGUGGGUAGCAAACAGG